rnacentral:tRNA from 1 species
GGACGGUGGCCGGGGCGCGGGCGCGGCCGGACGCGCCUCGGGCUUCUUCGGCGGUUCGGCGCCGCCGCCGGCCA